GCGACAGCGACAGCGGCGAUGCUCAUAUCAACAAUUUAUCCAGCAUCAACGGAAACGGAUGGCCACAACUCCAUUGAAACGGUGCCAGCAGAGAACCAGAAAAAGGAAUCAGAAAACCAAGCAUUGGGCAGAGCAGAGCUCCCUGCAGAGGAUGAUGAAAGGAACUCGUUGCUGCCACUGCCGCUACCGCAUCCGGGUGGGGCUGAUUUGACCAAGGGCUUCUCCAUACCCACCUUCCUGCCACCAUUUCCCGUUUUUGCGGCAGCGGAUUUGCCAGCUUACCGAGCUGCAGCCGAUGCAGCGGCCGCCGCCGCGGCGGCAAUAGAAGAGGCAACCAAAGCAGCAGCAGCCGCAGCGGCUGCAGCAGCAUCCUCGGAGGCAGCGACAUUGUCGCCAGAGGAGCAACGGCGACGAAUGUUUGAUGAGCAGCAUUCGUUCUUGGCCGCCCACCGGGCGGCCCUGGACGGGGACGGGCAGGUGGUGCGACGGAAUCUGACAAUGCCGGUGCUAAACAUCACCGCCCAAAUGGGGAAUCACGCCUAUAUGCCAUGCCAGAUACAUCGCCUCUCCGACAAGCCCGUCUCGUGGGUGCGCAUGCGCGACAACCACAUUAUCAGUGUGGACGAGACCACCUUUAUAGCGGAUGAGCGUUUCCAGUCGAUCUUCCAGGAAGAUCACGACUACACCUGGUCGCUGCAGAUCAAAUACGUAGUGCCCGACGAUGCGGGCGGGUACGAGUGUCAAAUGGCCACCGAACCGAAGCUGAGUGCCAAAGUGCAUUUGGAGAUAGUCACACCCAAGACUGAGCUAAUUGGGGAUCAGAGUCGCUUCGUUAAGGCCGGCAGCAAGGUGGCCCUCCACUGCAUCGUUCGGGGGACUCUGGAUCCCCCGAAAUACAUCAUCUGGUUCCGGGGCCAGAAGAAGGUGAGCGAGAGCGAUGAGCGGACUGGGUGGUACACGCAGCUCGAUCGCAAUAUCUUCGGGACAGUGGGUGAUAAUCAAAAUACGAUCGGUUCAUUAAUUAUACCGGUCGUGCGUAAAGAGGACUCCGGCAAUUAUACGUGCCAGCCAUCAAACAGUGUCUCCGUCUCCGUGGACCUGCACGUCCUAAGCGGUGAAUAUUCCGCAUCGGCCAUCAUGUCAACGGCAUCGGUAUCGUGGACGAAGACAAGGACGAGCACCAGCGGGAGAGGCACGUCCCAAUUGAUGCUGUGGAUGCUGGGACUCCUGGGACUCCUUGGGGCGCUGCAGGGACCGUUGCACACACCCCAGACGACGUGACUCGCCUAUUGAAUAAACGGGACCCAUGGACACACGGACACGCGGCCGAGGAUGCUGACUUGGAUGCUGCGGACAUUGGUGUCCGGCUUCCAAUUAUUUGUAAGCUUUUGCGCCAUCUGCAGUUACGUAAUUUAGGUUAGAGAUUAAUUAAAGGCGGCCUUGUAAAUAGCAGAAAUGUAGAGAGAUGGCAGCAGGAUUCUAUAAUUAGGUUAAAUGUUACCAUAACUCUCAUGAGUGCGUGUCAAAUACUCGCACUCGUACUCCCCAUACUCCCCAUACAAUUCAAUCUACUGUACAUUCAUUUUUUAGUCAUAGAUACACGAAGGAAUUUUUCCCAUUUCAAGUUGUGAAAACGAAUCAAUAAUUAGAUUAUUGUCAGCAAAUGAUUAAAACACGAAAAACUUAAUACAGAAAUCAAGAAAAAAAAUCAUAAAUAAAAUGCAUUCAAUAAAUCAUGUGAAACUCAAUGGAAAUCUCUGUGUUCUCUCUCCGAUCAGAAUGGUAAAUCAUUUAUGGAGCUAUCAAACUUGAACUAAUUGAGUGGUCUCUCUAAAAUGAACUUUAAAUAUCUAAACCCCCAUCCAAAAGCUUAACAAAAUCCACUGACAAAAUAAACCCAAAGGGACCCAAGUCCCAGAUUUAAUAUAGCCCAAGAAAUACCGUCUUGACCCUCAGUUGACAGAGGGCUAAUAAAAAAGGGCGACCAGCAAAGUAUUUCCUCAAUUGCGAUAUGCAUAAAUAAUUUAAUAUUUUAUGGUAAUUUUGGCUCCACUUUAACUCCUACUGUGACCCAUCGUAGGACAUCAAAGUGACGAAAAGAAAACACAAAUGAGCCAAAAACUUAGAGCCUGGCCAAAACGAGAAUGGAGAAUGGUGGAGUGCAUAAAAACAACAGAAACAGAAACCAUAAACCGGCGAAUUCUAGGGCCCAUAAAGCCUUUAAGGUAGAGAGUCUAUUUUAUUGCAGCGGAAAUCACAUCUCCGUCCAGAGAUGGGCAUAAAAAACAACAAACCAAAAAAUAAAACCAACAAAAGUAUGAAGUAAAAAUAAGAAACAACACGUAAAAUUUGUCGUUGUCCUGUCAAGGCGAAGGAGGUGGAGGUGGAGGAGGGGGAGGAGGAGAUGGAAGGCAAAUCGUGUUGGUUGGACGUAAGCGAAGCAAUUUACAAGAAACAGUAAGAGAACCAGAGAGAUGGUGAGAUAGUAGGAAGAAAGGCAGUAAAUAUUUUUCACUAUGUUGCUGCUGAUGUUGAUGCUGAUGACUGACUCGCCCGACGACAGCCAUUCGGAAGGAAUGGUGGCCCGAAAGGCAAGAGAGAGGAAGAGAGCUGCUGGCUUAAGUCCAACAACUCAGCAAGCUCCCCGUCAAGGCAGGAAAAGUCAAACAAGAUGAAGCCAGUUGGAAAUGUCCUUGCUCAGCGCUCAACGCUCUACGCUCAAGCAGAGCAAAAAUAAAAUGCAACAAAAAAUAACAACGAACCAAAAAAAUAAAACUUUAAGAUAAGCAACAGCAAAUGGCAAAACGAACAAAAUGGCGCAAGUGAAAGUCAAGUGAACACUUGCAGCGUGACAGUUUCGUCUAACAUUUAUUCGUAUUUUUUCUGCGCUAAAUAUAUUCAAUAUCCGUUAAAAUGCUUCUCGGCCAUCACUUCCCUUUCCAGGCUUUGGCUUUUUUAUUUGAAUUUUCAUUUGAUUCGUUCCCUCUCAGUCAAUCGAAUUACUGAAGUCAUCUCAUACUUUGCAAAAGGACAA
rnacentral:misc_RNA from 1 species